UCUUUCAUAUUAUUUUCUAGGAAGGAGGAGUCAGUGGUUUUCUCCAUGCUUUUAUUGCUGAAGUGUUUGCAAUGGUGAGAGCUCAUGUUGCUGCAUUAGGAGGGAAUGCUGUUGUCUCCUACAUAAUGAAGCAGUGUGUCUUCAUGGAGAAUCCAAAUAAAAACCAGGCACAGUGUCUUAUAAAUGUGAGUGGUGAUGCAGUGGUUUUUGUUCGUGAAUCUGAAUUAGAAGUGGUGUCAACUCAGCAGCCUACUACCAACUGCCUCCCAUCAUGUGCUGGAGGAGAAGUUACAACCUGAAGUAAAUCAGAAAGAGCUCAACUCAAUGAAAUCCAUCUGUCUCCAUUGUUUUGUCUUUAAUUAUCUUACUGGACUUUUAAAAAUGAACUUAAUUUGAGAUAAUUAAGAAAGAAUUGGUACAUUAUGGGUAGAUUUGAUUUAUCUGGAAUCUCUUGGAGGCAUGAGAAUUCUCAAAUCCUGAUGUUUUGUUUGCCAGUCCUAGUCAGGCCCCAUGGAAUCUUGACUCCUCACUAAGUUCAGAUAGAUUUCUCAGAGAACUGUAGCAGAGAUGGAAGUUAUUGGUAAUUUAUGUUGACUUAAAUAAAAUCAUACUUAGAAAUAAAAUGGUCAAAUUAUCAAAAUUAUAAUAGCUAUCCUAGUGUAAUUGAGAGAAACUAAGAAAUUUACAAAUUGUCAAUGAAUAAAAAAAUCUGAUUUGAGGAAUGUGUGAGAAAAUGCAGAAAAGUUUGAGAACACUAUGUGGGUUUCCUAAUAUGUUUUAUUUUGAGAACAACUGAAUUUGGAAUUUGGUAACAACCGAAAGGAAGAGUGCUUCAGCCAUCUUUUAAAAAGAAGUUAAAAUUCUGCAACUUGUAUCCAUAAUGUGUCCUAACUACUGUAAAAGAAAAAGUAAUUUAUUAGAGCCAGUGUCCUUCCAUUGAAAGUUCUAAUAAUGUCUGUAAGGAGGGAGGAAAAAACUAUGUAAUUUUGUAACUCGCCAAAUUUUAUUAGUGCUUAAUUUGUCUAGAAGAGGCUUGGCUUCAACUGGAAGGAAAAGGUCAGUGAAUUUUGUUGAAGUAGUUAAGGUAUAAUUGAUCUAGUAGGAGCAUAAAAUUAUUUCUGAUAGAAUCAUACUGCACUCCUACCAAAUAAACAGAAUUAUAUCUUAGGGAUUUUUGAUGGUGAGUUAGAUUGUAUUUGGCAUAGAAUUUGGAAAUGUAACUUGAAUGUAAGUAUGCUGCAAAGUGUUGAAUGUAUACAUAGAAAUACUUUUUCUGUCAAUGCCAAAUACCUAUUGUAAAUGAAGCAUACAAAGUACAUUCCUCCUUUGCACAAUAAAAUUUCUUUAUAAAA